GAUGAACGCUAGCUACAGGCUUAACACAUGCAAGUCGAGGGACAGGCGCACGGGUGAGUAACACGUAUCCCACCUGCCCUUUACUCGGGGAUAGCCUUUCGAAAGAAAGAUUAAUACCUGAUAUAAAGGAUGGGGAUGCGUUACAUUCGGUUGUUGGUGAGGUAACGGCCCACCAAGCCUUCGAUGGAUAGGGGGUCUGAGAGGAAGGUCCCCCACAUUGGAACUGCGACACGGUCCAAACUCGUACGGGAGGCAGCAGUGAGGAAUAUUGGUCAAUGGGCGUUAGCCUGAACCAGCCAAGUAGAGUGAAGGAUGAAGGCUUAUGGGUCGUAAACUUCUUUUAUAUAAGAAUAUGUAUUAUAUGAAUAAGGAUCGGCUAACUCCGUGCCAGCAGCCGCGGUAAUUC
rnacentral:rRNA from 1 species